GUGUCAGCUGCAGAGACUGAUGUCAUCUUUGUAACACCAGAAAAGAUACAGCACAGGCAGAAGCAUUACAAGCUUCCCUGAGCCAUCCCAUUAAUGUGCCUUAACCCUGACGAGUAGAGCUGCAAGCCUUGGUCAUAGGCUUCUAUCUCUGCCGUUGUCAUAAUGGGGCUGUU
rnacentral:sRNA from 1 species